rnacentral:tRNA from 1 species
AUUAGGGUGUCUGAUUAAGGUAACAAACUGUAAAUUUGUCAAUGAAGUUAAUUCCCCUAGUA